GUGCCACCGCCGCGGUAAUACGGAGGAUGCGACGUUAUCCGGAUUUAUUGGGUUUAAAGGGUGCGUAGCGGUCUGGUAAGUCACGGUGAAAUGCUAUCGCUCAACGAUAGAAUUGCCGUUGAUACUGUCGGACUUGAAUGCGGAUGCCGUUGGAGGAAUGUGUGGUGUAGCGGUGAAAUGCAUAGAUAUCACACAGAACACCGAUUGCGAAGGCAUCUGACGAAUCCGCAAUUGACGCUGAGGCACGAAAGUGUGGGGAUCAAACAGGAUUAGAUACCCUGGUAGUCCACACAGUAAACGAUGAUGACUAACCGUCGGCGAUACACAGUCGGUGGCCAAGCGAAAGCGAUAAGUCAUCCACCUGGGGAGUACGACCGCAAGGUUGAAACUCAAAGGAAUUGACGGGGGCCCGCACAAGCGGAGGAACAUGUGGUUUAAUUCGAUGAUACGCGAGGAACCUUACCCGGGCUCGAACGGCAGCUGAAUGACUCAGAGAUGGGUCAGUCUUCGGACAGUUGUCGAGGUGCUGCAUGGUUGUCGUCAGCUCGUGCCGUGAGGUGUCGGCUUAAGUGCCAUAACGAGCGCAACCCUUGCCGUUAGUUGCCAUCAAGUGAAGUUGGGGACUCUAGCGGGACUGCCACCGCAAGGUGUGAGGAAGGGGGGGAUGACGUCAAAUCAGCACGGCCCUUACGUCCGGGGCGACACACGUGUUACAAUGGUGGGUACAGAGGGGAGCUACCUGGUGACAGGAUGCGAAUCUCGAAAACCCAUCCCAGUUCGGACUGGAGUCUGCAACCCGACUCCACGAAGUUGGAUUCGCUAGUAAUCGCGCAUCAGCCAUGGCGCGGUGAAUACGUUCCCGGGCCUUGUACACACCGCCCGU
rnacentral:rRNA from 1 species